UGAGGAAUAUUGGUCAAUGGGCGGGAGCCUGAACCAGCCAAGCCGCGUGAGGGAGGAAGGCCCUAUGGGUCGUAAACCUCUUUUGUCAGGGAACAAAAGCGAGUAUGUAUACUAGUCUGAAUGUACCUUAAGAAAAAGACAUCGCUAAGCUACCCGUGCCAGCAGCCGCGGUAAUACGGAGGAUGCGAGCGUUAUCCGGAUUUAUUGGGUUUAAAGGGUGCGUAGGCGGCGGUGCAAGUCAGCGGUAAAAGCCCGGGGCUCAACCCCGGCGAGCCGUUGAAACUGCAGUGCUAGAGAAGGCGAGAGGUACGCGGAAUGCGCAGUGUAGCGGUGAAAUGCUUAGAUAUUGCGCAGAACUCCGAUUGCGAAGGCAGCGUACUGGCGCCUGACUGACGCUGAGGCACGAAAGCGUGGGGAUCGAACAGGAUUAGAUACC
rnacentral:rRNA from 1 species